rnacentral:lncRNA from 1 species
UGUCUGUCAGACUUGACAGAUCUGUAUAUGGUUGUGGAAUUGACAACAAAAAAGGACCUCUUUUAAUGCUCUUUGUUUUGUUCUCCAGAGGAACUAGACGUUGGAGAACCGUCUCACUGAGCUCUGUGAUCAAGUCAAGCAGAGAGCGGAGAGCCCGGACGAGCUGGCAGAGCUGGUCAAUAUGAACCUGGCCCAGCUGUGUUCCCUCCUCAUGGCCCUGUGGGGUCAGUUCCUGGAGUGGUCUCACUGCAGGAGAAUGUUCUGCCCUGCGCUGUGAGCAUCACCACUCGAUGAGUGUUCGUGCACCGCCUAGCUGAUGCUGCUGCUGACGGAGCACCCUCACUCAGGGAGUAUGCACCUCUAACCCGCACUCACCUCACUAACCCUGCUGACCGUAAUGCCCUCACUAACCCUGCUGACCGUAAUGCACCUCACUAACCCUGCUGGACCGUGAGCACCUCACUAACCCUGCUGACCGUAGAGCACCUCACUAACCCUGCUGACCGUGGCACCUCACUAACCCUGCGACCUGACACCUCACUAACCCUGCUGACCGUGGAGCACCUCACUAACCCUGGCUGACCGAUGCACCUCACUAACCCUGCGUGGAGCACCUCACUACCCUGACCCUCAGGCACUAACCCGGCUGACUGGAGCACCUCACUACCCUGCUGACCGUAAUGCACCUCACUAACCCUGCGUGGAGCACCUCACUAACCCUGCUGACCGGAAUGCCUAACCCGCUGACUGUGGAGCACCUCACUAACCGCUGACCGUCGUGGAGCACCUCACUAACCCUGCUGACGUAAUGCACCUCACAACCCUGCUGACGUGGUGGAGCACCUCACUAACCCUGCUACGUGGAGCACCUCACUAACCCUGCUGACCGUAAGCCCUCACUAACCCUGCGUGGAGCACUCACUAACCCUGCUGACCGCAAUGCACUAACCCUGCUGACUGUGGAGCACCUCACUAACCGCUGACUGUGGAGCACCUCACUAACCGCUGACCGUAAUGCACCUCACUAACCCUGCGUGGAGCACCUCACUAACCCUGCUGACCGGAAUGCACUAACCCUGCUGACUGUGGAGCACCUCACUAACCUGCGGACCGUGCGUGAGCACCUCACAACCCUGCUGACCGUAAUGCACCUCACAACCCUGCUGACCGUG